GUGGGGAAUUUUGGACAAUGGGCGCAAGCCUGAUCCAGCAAUGCCGCGUGCAGGAAGAAGGCCUUCGGGUUGUAAACUGCUUUUGUACGGAACGAAACGGUCCGGGUUAAUACCCUGGGCUAAUGACGGUACCGUAAGAAUAAGCACCGGCUAACUACGUGCCAGCAGCCGCGGUAAUACGUAGGGUGCAAGCGUUAAUCGGAAUUACUGGGCGUAAAGCGUGCGCAGGCGGUUUUGUAAGACAGGCGUGAAAUCCCCGGGCUCAACCUGGGAAUUGCGCUUGUGACUGCAAGGCUGGAGUGCGGCAGAGGGGGAUGGAAUUCCGCGUGUAGCAGUGAAAUGCGUAGAUAUGCGGAGGAACACCGAUGGCGAAGGCAAUCCCCUGGACCUGCACUGACGCUCAUGCACGAAAGCGUGGGGAGCAAACAGGAUUAGAUACCCUGGUAGUCC
rnacentral:rRNA from 1 species